GUCGUAACAAGGUUUCCGUAGGUGAACCUGCGG
rnacentral:rRNA from 24 species